rnacentral:ncRNA from 1 species
AAAUAAUUUAAUUUCGGUUAGGUAAUUAAUUGAAUUAAUUGAUCUAUAAAUUUAGUUUUAAAAUUGAGGUUAUUUAAAUAAUAAUUUUUAUGUAGAGAUUUGAUUUAAAAAUAAAUGAAAGUUUGAUUUAGUAAUUAAAUUUAAUAAAGGUAAUUUUAGUGCCAGCAACAGCGGUUAGACUAAAUUUGUAAAUUAAUUUAUUUAAUUUUUGAAUUAAUGUGUAUUAUUUUGAUGUUAAUUAAAUUUAUUAAAAGGUUGGUGAAAUAUCUUUUUUAUAAAAUGUUAAUUUUUAUUUUACUAAUAUUUGUUAAAUUUUUGUAUAAACUAGGAUUAGAUACCCUACUAUAAAAAUAAUUUUGAUUGAAUUAACUAUUAAAUGUAAAUCAUUAAAAUUAAUAAAUAUGGCGGCUUUAUAAUUUAUUUAGAGGAAUUUGUAUUUUAAUUGAUACCCCACAAUAGGAGUAACUAUAAUUAAUCUUUGUAUAUUGCUGUUUGAAGAGUUUAUUUAUAUAUAUAUUCUUGUAAUAUUUAAUAAAAUAUUAAUUCAAGUCAAAAUGCAGGAUAUUAUUGAUUAUAUGAAUUACAUUAAAUUUAAUUUUUGGAUAAAUUAUUUUAAUAUAAUUUUGAAAUUGGAUUUAAAAGUAAAUUUAUUUAAUUAAAUUUAUUGAAGAUAAUUUUGUUUAGUGUACAAAUUGCCCGUCAUUCUCAUUAUAAGUGAGGAAAGUCGUAACAUAGUAAAUGUACUGGAAAGUGUAUUUUGUUAAAA